ACAAAGGCUCUUUUCAGAGCCACCCAUCUAGUCAGAAAAGAGCUU
rfam:Tupaia chinensis contig216713, whole genome shotgun sequence.